UGGGGAAUAUUGCACAAUGGGGGAAACCCUGAUGCAGCGACGCCGCGUGAAGGAAGAAGUAUCUCGGUAUGUAAACUUCUAUCAGCAGGGAAGAAAAUGACGGUACCUGACUAAGAAGCCCCGGCUAACUACGUGCCAGCAGCCGCGGUAAUACGUAGGGGGCAAGCGUUAUCCGGAUUUACUGGGUGUAAAGGGAGCGUAGACGGAGCAGCAAGUCUGAUGUGAAAUACCGGGGCUUAACCCCGGGGCUGCAUCCAAAACUGUGGUUCUUGAGUGGAGUAGAGGUAAGCGGAAUUCCGAGUGUAGCGGUGAAAUGCGUAGAUAUUCGGAGGAACACCAGUGGCGAAGGCGGCUUACGGGGCUCUAACUGACGCUGAGGCACGAAAGCAUGGGGAUCAAACAGGAUUAGAUACC
rnacentral:rRNA from 1 species